rnacentral:rRNA from 1 species
UUGCAGUUGCUAUCAGCGUCUGAAAAACAUAAUAGUUACAACUUUCAACAACGGAUCUCUUGGUUCUGGCAUCGAUGAAGAACGCAGCGAAAUGCGAUAAGUAGUGUGAAUUGCAGAAUUCAGUGAAUCAUCGAAUCUUUGAACGCACAUUGCGCCCCUUGGUAUUCCAUGGGGCAUGCCUGUUCGAGCGUCAUUUGUACCUUCAAGCUCUGCUUGGUGUUGGGUGUUUGUCUCGCCUCUGCGUGUAGACUCGCCUUAAAACAAUUGGCAGCCGGCGUAUUGAUUUCGGAGCGCAGUACAUCUCGCGCUUUGCACUCAAAACGACGACGUCCAAAAGUACAUUUUUACACUCUUGACCUCGGAUCAGGUAGGGAUACCCGCUGAACUUAAGCAUAUCAUA